AUGGAGAGAAAAAAAAAAAAAGCAAAACAACGAAAUCGUAACGGGGAAAGCGCCUUCCCCGCUCCCGCCGCGCCCGGCCCGGCUCCUUUAUCUCGGGACCGACCCGGGCCUCGUUUUUGCAAGUUCCCGUUUCAUUUCGAUCCGUUCCGGCUUGGCUCCGCCGGGGACGGACAGACGGACAUUGUCCCCGGAUUGUCCCCGGGAGCCGCCGGGUUUAUUUUCCUCCAGCCCUUCCCGGCCCGGCAGCGCUCGCCACCACCGCGGGUUUUAUCGAAUGAUAAUUAUAAUUCUGAUACUUUUUAUUUUUUUUUUCGUGGGAUAAGAAGAAAAGCGAACCAAAACGAAACGCGAGUCCCGGUUCCAGCCCGGGAAGUUAUUUCCCGGCUACGAAACGAUCGGGCCGAGGGCGGCGGCGGUGCCCGCCUCGCCGAAACGAAUUUCCCCCGGUUCCCGUUCACACGGGGCGCGGAACCAGGGCGCCGGGAGGCACCGGGCCAGACCCCGCUGUGCCGUGCCCCCCUCCCCGCCAAGCCCCCCCGCUCUGCAGCUCUUGGUCCCCGCUUUUUCGUUUCUUUCCUAAAGCGCCCCCCCCUCUCCCUUUCCUUUUUUUGCUUGGGGUUUUUCGGAUUUCUCCACGCUUUAGGGCUGCGGGUUUGUCCCGUCCCCCCCUCCUCAAGCCCCGACCCUUUUUCCUGGGACAAAGCCGAGCAAGGAGCCGCCUCCCCCGCCGUGCCCGGUGGGUGCCCGCAGCCCACCUCCGGGCUCUGCAGCCUCGGGGAAGGCCCGGGAUGGCGGCACGGGCGGUGCUCGGUACCGGGACCGCGAUCCGUACAGCAGGGGGGGGUCCCCAACCCCCCCAGCCCAGCGCCCGGGAGCCGGAUCCCCUCUGCUGAUGUGUCGCUGCUUGCUUCUUUACCUCUCAUCCCCUUCUCCCGUGUCCCCCCCAGUGGCCCUCUCACCCUUCACUGUAACACGCCGUAUAGGUCACCCCUACCAGAACCGCACGCCCCCCAAGAAGAAGAAGCCGCGCACGUCCUUCACCCGCCUGCAGAUCUGCGAGCUGGAGAAGCGCUUCCACCGCCAGAAGUACCUGGCCUCGGCCGAGCGCGCUGCCCUGGCCAAGGCCCUGAAGAUGACGGACGCGCAGGUGAAGACCUGGUUCCAGAACCGGCGCACCAAGUGGAGGAGGCAGACGGCGGAGGAGCGGGAGGCCGAGCGGCAGCAAGCGAACCGCAUCCUGAUGCAGCUGCAGCAGGAGGCCUUCCAAAAAACCAUCAACCAGCCCAUCCAAGCCGACCCCAUCUGCGUCCACAACUCCUCUCUCUUCGCCCUGCAGAACCUCCAGCCCUGGUCCGACGACUCCACCAAGAUCACCAGCGUCACCACCGUCGCCUCCGCCUGCGAGUAAAGGCUCGGCACCUUCGGCGUCCCCCUUUUGUCACCGCCGCCUCCGGCCACACGUGCGUCCCACGGAGCAAAGGGCGAGGACUGACGGGAGGGGAAAACCACCCCAAAAACUCUCCCCGCCCGUGGGGCUGCCGGAGCAGCGGUGUCGUCUCGCCUCCCCCCCAACCCUUUUGUUCUUCCCAAAGUCUCCGGUGCCGACCACGAACUUCCUGACGCGCCGCCAGACAAAAGCUGAGCCCUGACAGACGCGGCCGCGGGCGAGCGCCCAGCUUGGGGGAGAAACUUCCUCUGGGUUCUGCAGGGCUCGGGGCACCCCUAUAGGUCCCUAUGUGUAUAUAUAAAUCCCAUAUAUAUAUACACACAGACACCCUUCGGACUGAUGGAGACAAAAGGACGAGGCUCCCUGGGAAGCGCGUUCCUGCAGCCAGGCGUUGUGCCGGGCCGUUGGCGCUGGAGACGUUUUGGGGAUGCAACAAAUGGAGGAAACAACCCGGCUUUUUGAUUUGAUUUUUAUUUUUAUUUUAUUUUUUUUUCCUCCUCCCGGCAGCAAUUUCUGCUGGCGACAGAUGCGAACCCUUCGGAUCUCACCUAGCCGUGUCUCCUCCCCUUUUUCAUUAAUUUUUUCGUGCGAGGGGGGAAUAAGCCAAGGAACUGACAGACUCCUGAGGACGGUAAACGUGAUAGCUCAAUCGCAGGAAGAGCCCAAACUGUCCCCGGCUGCCACGGACUCGGCGCCGAUCAAGCCUGCGUUUUAAUAACGAGAAGACCUCGGUGGCAGUUGGCAGGGGUAACGCGGUUUCUUUCGAUGGGUUUAUUUCCAUAUCAUUUGCAAAAUGCUGUCCGGUGUUUUCGUUUUCCCUGUUUUCCUUGAUGAGGCAGUUCGCGAGGGCAAAAAGCGAUCCGAUUUCACUCCCGACUUCGUUGUUUCUUUAACUGAGGGAAUGAGACACAAUUAAACAAAGCACUUCCUAUAGCAAAGGCCAGGAAUAUAUAGAUAUAUAUAUAUACAGUAUAUAUUUUUUGGUUACUUAUAAUCUAAAUCAGCACUGCCAAUUUAAACAGCUAGCACAAACGAGCGAUCAGAAAUCCUAUUUUCAGCGAGAUUUUAAAAGGCAUUCGUUUGUUUGUUCGUUUGUUUUUUAAGUUAUGCACUUCUACGGUGUUUUACGUGUAUUCAUUUUAUAAAGUGCUUGUGUAAUUUAUGUGGAAACGAAAAGGAAAAUAAAAAAAAAUAAUAAUCUCCAGGGUACUGAAUAAAUCAUUUCAUGCCUUGCUCUUCCCUGCCUAUUAGCUCCCCGAGAGGAGCCAGCAGAUCGGAGCGAGCGCUGCAGCCUCCUCUAUUUGUUUAGGAUGAAAAUAGCAUUAGCAUUUCCUUCUGACUUUGCUCAAGUCCCCUCGGCUCGGGAAGCUCUGGAGAUAACAGGGGGUAUUUUAAUCCCUCGUCCUGGAGCCGUUUUCAGGCUCCGAGCAGCACCUGGUUUGAUCCCAUCCCUGGGUGCGCCUCCUGCACGCGUGGGGGAAAUUCCCUGAGCGGGACCCACGGCGCUCACCUCGGUGUUGGCAUCCAGGAUUUUGUGCAGAAGUGGGGCUGAGGAUAAAGGAAUCUCCAACGUUUUAGCCACAGCCUGGCAGGGGAUUAUUUUUGGGACUAUUUUUUUGUCUGUGCUCAGCUUUAUUCCGGGGCACCGUCCCUAGCCAGGCAGAAGAAAACCCCACCGGGGGAAAAAUUCUCCCUGGUUUCCUCAGGGGAUGCUCCCAGGCUCAUGGCCAGGGACGUGGCCUUGCCUUCAGCCUGGCAUUUCCUUCAGUGCUGGGAACUGCCGGGCAGAGGAUGUGCAAGGAGGGGGCUGCAAACUCGGCCAGCCCCCAGCUCUUGCCCUUGGUCUUGUGGGGUGCACAAUAAAACAGCCCCAGCUGCUGCAGGACCCAAACUCAGUCCUUGGGGAAAGCUCCUCUGGAGAUUGUUAGGAGAGUGUAGGUAUAAGCUAUUUUUUAUUAUUAUUAUUAUUUUUUCAAAAUCAAUUAUUGUGGAGUUGGGUUCCAAAUUUAUGGUGCUUCAGGCUUUUCCUACCCAUCCUUCAGUCCAACACGCAAGUGAACGCAGAGAAGCAUCUGCAGAGGUGGAGAGACAAGAAGCCAAAAACAAACAAAAAAAACAAAACAAGAGAAAACGUGGGAAAAUAAGUAAAAUACACAGACCACAAAUUUCUGGGGAUGUGUUUAAAAAGAUACCUGCUUACAAAAAAAAAAAAAAAGAUAAAUAACAUAGCUUGUAUUUUUUUUUUUCCAAGAUAACUUUGACAGAGGUCUUUUGUUUGAAUUCUGUUUCGUACCACAGACAGAUUUUUAAGAGCUGAUUAAGCUACUUAUUUAAUAUGUGCCCAACUUUGGCUGCAAAGAGAAUGCCGUGCUUAGUGCUUAAUCCUUGCGGAGGCAUCGCCGUGUGCAGGGCUGGGAUGGCUCACAGCGUGGGGCUCUGCUCGCUUUCCUUUCCAAGGUUUUUGUGCAGGAAAAAAAAAAACAAAAAAACACCAACCACAAAAUAAAUUGUGAAGGGAUCACGGUGCUCACCGCUGAUAUUAAAAGUGUUUUCUAUUUUAUUAUUAUGACACAUCAAUAUCUUACAAUUUAAUUCCGAGACAACCAUUUUAUAAUAUCCACAUUAUUCAUUUCAUAUUCCAAAAUGUUUCCCGGCGAAGUCGAACGUAUGAUAAUGCACACCCGAGGGCAUGCGUUUAAAUACAAUCUUUAGCUACACCUUGUUCUAAAAACUGUUGACUUCCUCCUUUUCUUAUCAAUCUUUCCUGUUUUAAAAAAAGACCAAAAAAAGAAAAAAAGAAGUCUUGAUAUGCAACGACAAUAUAUGUAGUGUUGGAACCAGAAAAAUUCUCGUCCGGUCUUUCUUGUUCUUGGAACAAUUGCUGCUGGAAGGGGUUUCUGUUCAAAUAUUUCUCCUGGAUUUGUUUUUAGAAUUGGUUUAGUCGCAGGAGGGUUUUUUUUUUUGCUAUCUGCAUACAUGCUUCCAGUUAUUAACAUGAUGAACUGUACCCAGACAAUGAAAGUUGCCUGAAAUAUGAUGGAAUUAAAUCAAUAAGCAAUGACACGAAACGGUGACAUAUAAUUAUACGUUUUGUAGACUGACAUCACCUCAGACAUAUCCUGGGGCCAUCCAUACCACACUGAAGGCUGAUUUCACUUCUCGUAUUGUGCCUGCUUGGGAACAGGACCACAAACGCACUGCGAAGCAUUGAAAGGCAUUUCCCACCUCCGCGUAUCUCAAAACGUAGCAAAGCCCAAAUGUGAAACCAGAGGUGGUGCAAGAGGUUUUUCCAGCGUUCGCCUGCCCGUCUCGAGGAGGUGCAAAGCCAG
rnacentral:lncRNA from 1 species